ACAGAAGGUUUUUCUGUACCAGCUCCUUCUACCUAUACCGCAGUUGAAGCACCUAAAGGUGAAUUUGGUGUCUUUCUUGUCAGUAAUGGGAGUAAUCGUCUCUACCGUUGUAAAAUAAGAGCACCUGGCUUUGCCCAUUCACAAGGACUCGAUUCUAUGUACAAACAUCACAUGCCAGCAGAUGUAGUCACCAUCAUAGGUACUCAAGAUAUUGUGUUUGGAGAGGUAGAUAGAUAG
rnacentral:rRNA from 1 species